rnacentral:rRNA from 1 species
UAGGGAAUCUUCCACAAUGGGCGCAAGCCUGAUGGAGCAACACCGCGUGAGUGAAGAAGGGUUUCGGCUCGUAAAGCUCUGUUGUUAAAGAAGAACACGUAUGAGAGUAACUGUUCAUACGUUGACGGUAUUUAACCAAAAAGUCACGGCUAACUACGUGCCAC